CCUACGGGAGGCAGCAGUGGGGAAUAUUGCACAAUGGGGGAAACCCUGAUGCAGCGACGCCGCGUGAGUGAAGAAGUAUUUCGGUAUGUAAAGCUCUAUCAGCAGGGAAGAAGAAAGAAGGUACCUGACUAAGAAGCCCCGGCUAACUACGUGCCAGCAGCCGCGGUAAGACGUAGGGGGCAAGCGUUCUCCGGAUUUACUGGGUGUAAUGGGAGCGUAGACGGCUGUGCAAGUCUGCAGUGAAAGCCCAGGGCUCAACCCUGGGACUGCUUUGGAAACUGUGGAGCUAGAGUGCUGGAGAGGUAAGUGGAAUUCCUAGUGUAGCGGUGACAUGCGUCGAUAUUAGGAGGAACACCAGUGGCGAAGGCGGCUUACUGGACAGUAACUGACGUUGCGGCUCGACAGCGUGGGGAGCAAACAGGAUUAGAUACCCGAGUAGUC
rnacentral:rRNA from 1 species